AGUGAACGCUGGCGGUAGGCCUAACACAUGCAAGUCGAACGGCAGCACAGUAAGAGCUUGCUCUUACGGGUGGCGAGUGGCGGACGGGUGAGGAAUACAUCGGAAUCUACUUUUUCGUGGGGGAUAACGUAGGGAAACUUACGCUAAUACCGCAUACGACCUACGGGUGAAAGCAGGGGAUCUUCGGACCUUGCGCGAUUGAAUGAGCCGAUGUCGGAUUAGCUAGUUGGCGGGGUAAAGGCCCACCAAGGCGACGAUCCGUAGCUGGUCUGAGAGGAUGAUCAGCCACACUGGAACUGAGACACGGUCCAGACUCCUACGGGAGGCAGCAGUGGGGAAUAUUGGACAGUGGGCGCAAGCCUGGUCCAGCCAUACCGCGUGGGUGAAGAAGGCCUUCGGGUUGUAAAGCCCUUUUGUUGGGAAAGAAAAGCAGCAGGUUAAUACCCCGCUGUUCUGACGGUACCCAAAGAAUAAGCACCGGCUAACUUCGUG
rnacentral:rRNA from 1 species